rnacentral:rRNA from 1 species
AUUGAACGCUGGCGGCAUGCCUUACACAUGCAAGUCGAACGGCAGCACGGGUGCUUGCACCUGGUGGCGAGUGGCGAACGGGUGAGUAAUACAUCGGAACAUGUCCUGUAGUGGGGGAUAGCCCGGCGAAAGCCGGAUUAAUACCGCAUACGAUCUACGGAGGAAAGCGGGGGACCUUCGGGCCUCGCGCUAUAGGGUUGGCCGAUGGCUGAUUGGCUAGUUGGUGGGGUAAAGGCCUACCAAGGCGACGAUCAGUAGCUGGUCUGAGAGGACGACCAGCCACACUGGGACUGAGACACGGCCCAGACUCCUACGGGAGGCAGCAGUGGGGAAUUUUGGACAAUGGGCGAAAGCCUGAUCCAGCAAUGCCGCGUGUGUGAAGAAGGCCUUCGGGUUGUAAAGCACUUUUGUCCGGAAAGAAAUCCUUGGCCCUAAUACGGUCGGGGGAUGACGGUACCGGAAGAAUAAGCACCGGCUAACUACGUG